UCUCUCGUUUUCUCUCCACCACCAUUUCAAUCUUCCUACGAAAAAUCAGACCGGGUUAAACCGAUCAACCCCCGCCCGCUCCGUGUGUACUGCCGUCUGCGCCUCCUCAUCUUUUGAAAUCUCCAAGUUGGAGCUUUUGGGAGGUUAUAUGACUUGAAGGUGAGACUUUUCAGCAGACAAAGGAACCCUAGUGACAGCAACGGUUGGCGGCGAUGGUCAAGUCUCGUGACAUCUAAGAGAUUGUUGCGAAGCUCUCAUCCGAUAAAUCCAAGACUAGAGAAGAAGGGAUUAAGUUGCUUAAUACAUGGUUUGAUGGAGAAAGGUCAAAUGAUUUCUGUAAAUAUGUUGCACAGAAAACUGCCAAGCUCAAACAAGAUGAAAUUGCUCACUAAUGUUUUACUGUUAUUGCAGCUGACACAUGGCCUUUCUUAAUCACUAUGUUGAUUAAGUGUGCUUCACUGGAGGUAUCCUCAAGCAAGUGCGGAUUGCCGAAAUAUGUAGUUGCAAAGACCUUGAGGGUAGUUGUGCAACGAGCGGAGGAUGGUAAUAUAUUGCCACUGUUACCAGUGGUUAAAAGUCUUUUCAACCAUAUUUGGGAGAUCUUAAGCAAUGAUCCAAGCUUCCAGUGGCAGUCGGAAUAUGGGCUUCUUCUACAUGAUCUUUUGGCUGUGAGAGAUUAUCGAU